GGCAGGGUGCCGGGUACCACCUGAGCCUCCGGUCUUUGCUCUUGAGGCGGAGGCUGGAGGUGGGUGGCACCUGCCGGUAUGGCAGCAUCUGCUGCCCGGUUCGAGAGUCAGAGCCUGGCCUCCACCCAGAUUGUGAAAAAAAAUCGGCAACACUUAACUAUUUCUGUGGAAAAAGACAAGAGUGCUCCAUAGGAUGACUAGAGUCACACAGCCUUUGUGAACUAGUUAAAGGUAUGAACUCAGUUCCUGGAGCAAAAGGUUCUGCUUGCCUAGAAGUUUUGGUUCCAGAAAAGGGAGUGCUCCUACCAGCAGCCACAACAAACAUUCUAUUGAACUGGAAGCUCAGACUUCCCCAUGGGCAUUUUGGGCUUCUAUGUCCUUAAACCAACAGGAUAAGAAAGGAAUAUCAGUGUUAGGAGGGGUGAUAGAUCCUUAUUACCAUGGGGAAAUUGGAUUGCCUCUUCACACUGGAGGUCUCUCUAUAGAAGCUGAGCCAACUUCCAACUUGGAUCCUCUUGCCUAGCCUCCCCAGAGCUGGAAUUGAUUAUAAGCAAGCACUACUACGAAUGGAUCAAAACUUAAAGAAAGGACUCCAAUUUGCUUUAUAUUAAUCUUCAUCAUAAAA
rnacentral:lncRNA from 1 species